rnacentral:misc_RNA from 1 species
GAUGAAGAACGCAGCGAAAUGCGAUAAGUAAUGUGAAUUGCAGAAUUCAGUGAAUCAUCGAAUCUUUGAACGCACAUUGCGCCCCUUGGUAUUCCAUGGGGCAUGCCUGUUCGAGCGUCAUUUGUACCUUCAAGCUUUGCUUGGUGUUGGGUGUUUGUCCCUCGGGACUCGCCUUAAAGUCAUUGGCAGCCAGUGUUUUGGUUUUGAAGCGCAGCACAAGUCGCGAUUCAAGGCUAUCCGCCCGCUUCCACAAGCCUUUUUCACUUUUGACCUCGGAUCAGGUAGGGAUACCCGCUGAACUUAAGCAUAUCAAUAAGCGGAGGA